GUUUGGUGGAUGAGGAAGGGGAAGAUUGCUGGUGGUUGGGGCCGGGCCCUGGGAGGCCCUGGGCAUCUACUGGGCCCCCACUGCUCCUCCCUCAGGGCUCAGGGCCCCUCGCAGCCCCUCAGCCUUCCUGCAUUGGAGGCCUUGCUGGGCACCAGGAGGAGGCAUCCUUGAGCACAGCCAGGUGGGGUCACCCAUGGCCGCACCCCCUGGCCUGGAACCUGAGGCCUUCCACGUGUUGUGAUGCCCAGUGUGUGGUGACAAUCAGCAUGGCGGGACCCCAUGUGCCUGUCAGACCUUGAGAACAGAAUGAAGCCACCGGGCCCUGCAGAGGCUGGGUCCAUGCUGAGUCCUUGGCAUCUGAUGUGCCUGGCCACGCCGUGGCAUUUUGUUUAUACUCUUGUGCUGGUACAUUCAUUGCAUGCUAGUGUCUUGUGACAUAUUGUUGUGACUUUGCCGUGUGAUAAUCUUCACUAAUGUGACCAGAACACUUGUUUCAGGAUUGUCAGGCAGGUCCUGGCAGCUGGUGAUGGCAUUUCGUGGACAUGUGCUGUGACCUCUGCAGAUCCUGAUACUUGGUUGUGCUGUUAGAGUCAGAAACCCCACUGACAUUGUUACCGGGGGAUUCCUAUUGCCCUCUAUUUUUUUUUGUUUUGUUUUGUUUUAAGAGACAGGGUCUUUCUCUGUCACCCAGGCCAGAGUGCAGUGGUGCUAUCAUAGCUCAUUACAGUCUCAAACUCCUGGACUCAAAUGAUCCUCCCACCUCAGUCUCCCUAGUAGUUGGGACUAUAGGUGAACACCACCAUGCCUGGCUAAUUUUUAAGUUUUUUGUAGAGCUGGGGUCUUGCUUUGUUGCCCAUGCUGACCUUGAACGUCCAGGUUCAAGUGCUUCUCCCACCUUGGCCUCCCAAAGCGCUGGGAUUACAGGCAUGAGCCACUGCGCCCAGCCUCCUUUAAUGUUUUUUAUUGAGAUGUAAUUCACAGAGCAUGCAAUUCGGCCAUGUAAAGUAUACGAUCUAAUGACUUUUGUGUGAUCACAGUUUGUGCAACCAUCACCACAAUCAACUGUAGAACAUUUUCAUCUCCCCAAAAGAAACCCACUCCCUUUAACCACCACCACCCACUCCCAUUGACUUCUUCCCUUCAGCCCUGGGCAAACACGAAUCCACUUCUGUCACUAUAGAUUUGCCUGUUCCGGACAUUUCAUAUAAAGGGAUUCCAUCCUCCCUUCCAUGGUGGUGAGGGGGAGACGGGGUGGGCCAGGGUGUUGUAGGAUGUGUCUCCGCGUGGCCCAGCCCCUCCCGCCUCCUGCAGGUGGAGGAGAACCGCCAGUACCGCAUGCACAGCCUGCAGCACAAGGCCGCCAGCUCCAUCUACAUCAACUCACGCAGCGUCUUCCUGCGCACCGACCAGCCCGAGGGCCGCUAUGUCAUCAUCCCCACCACCUUCGAGCCAGGCCACACUGGCGAGUUCCUGCUCCGAGUCUUCACUGAUGUGCCCUCCAACUGCCGGGAGCUGCGCCUGGAUGAGCCCCCACACACCUGCUGGAGCUCCCUCUGUGGCUACCCCCAGCUGGUGACCCAGGUACAUGUCCUGGGGGCUGCUGGCCUCAAGGACUCCCCAACAGGGGCUAACUCUUACGUGAUCAUCAAGUGUGAGGGGGACAAAGUCCGCUCGGCUGUGCAGAAGGGCACCUCCACACCGGAGUACAAUGUGAAAGGCAUCUUCUACCGCAAGAAGCUGAGCCAGCCCGUCACUGUACAGGUCUGGAAGCACCGAGUGCUGAAGGAUGAAUUUCUGGGCCAGGUGCACCUAAAGGCUGAGCCGGAUGACCUCCAGGCCCUGCAUACCCUCCACCUCCGGGACCGAAAUAGCCGGCAGCCCAGCAACCUGCCAGGCACUGUGGCCGUGCAUAUUCUCAGCAGCACCUCCCUCAUGGCUGUCUGACACCUGCCCACCUACCUGGCUCCGACAGUUCCCACCACCAUCUGCAUGCCCCACUGGGCCUGAGUCUAGCCUGGGAGCCAGGACACUGGGGUCCUUUUCCCACUCUUCCACUGACUUGCUGUGUGACCUUAGGAAGUCUCUGCCCCUCUCUCAGCCUCAGUGUCCCGAGGGCCCCGAAGCAUUCCCUUCUCGUGGAGGAGUUUCCUUGCUGAGAUUUCAAAUAGUCCUCCCCACCUCAACUGUCACCACUGCUAAGGGACUCUAUCCGUUGAACACAUUUUCCUAAGGCCCUGCUGUCUGCCGAGGAGUGCCAAGAAGAUGUCACUUGUUUACACACAAACUGCCACAUCCCCAAGCUCCAUUCUUGCCCCUCAUGUCCUAGGCCCAACCCAGCCUCCCAGACCUCACUUUCCCCAUCAACAAUACCUGGUGUUCUCCCAUCUUGAAAGGACUCUUGGCUCCUGCCGGGUUCCUGCUCAGGCUGGAAUUGGGAAAAUAUGCAGGUGACAUUUGUUCAUUCUCUAAUCCUGUCCUUUCACCCAUCCAUUUCCUCACUCAGUGGAGAUUUGCCAAAUGAAUAAACAACACCUUCGAGGCCCCAGGUGAAGCGGGGCCCUCCUCCGG
rnacentral:sRNA from 1 species